rnacentral:tRNA from 1 species
GCCCCUAUAGCUCAACAGGACAGAGCGCGGCCCUCCUAAGGCUGAAAUCCCCGUUCGAGUCGGGGUGGGGGCA